CCUGAGCUCAGGCAAGAACACCCGCUGAACUUAAGCA
rnacentral:rRNA from 1 species